UGUGAUCUAGUUACAGCACAGAUCAAGCUAGGACGAAGAAAUCUCCUUGGAAUUAGAUGGAGUUGGUGAAGCACAGGGACACAAUAAAGACUGAUUCCCUCAAUAAUGCUCCAGAUCCAGCGCCUUCCCAGCAGCCCUGCACACCUCUGUGAGACUUGACUACAGAGUGAGAGCCUGACUGUCAAAUUCUACCAUAUGAAAGUGUUUUUAUUUCCUUGUAUUUGGGUCCUCAAGUCCGGAGCCACAUCCUUUCUCAGGCCACACCAAUCCCAAGAGAACAACAAAAGAUGGCAAGGCAAACACUGCUUCCUCACCCUGGAAGACCCUCCCAAUCCUUGGAAAACAAGCAGAGGCGGCCAG
rnacentral:lncRNA from 1 species